AAUCUUUUCCUCCUGAAUUUCAGGGUCAGCAACAACAUAUUGCUUUAACAACCUAUCACCAAAUGCACGUGAAACAGCAAGAACACCUCCAACUCUCCAAGUUCCAGCCCACAUCACAAAUCCUCCAGCAUCCUCAAUUCGUCGUCGCUCAUCAGUUUGGUCAGGCUUAUGAUCUCGAGAGACAGCAAUGGCAGUGCCACCCCGGCAAAUAACAGCUCUAGAGUCACCCACAUUUGCAACAAGUAAGCGGUCACCAACUAGGAUGGCAGUGGA
rnacentral:misc_RNA from 1 species